rnacentral:lncRNA from 1 species
UGUGCUUUGGGGUUUUUAUAGAAAGUGAGAAAUGGCUCCAAAAGACUCUCCAACGGUCAAAUAUUAAAUGCUGUCAAAACUAGCCGUUGGCCUGUCGAACGUCCGAACCCUGCGUCCAAACCACCUGUCGGACGUCCGAACCCUGCGUCCGAACGUCGUCAGAGAGUCAUCAAAUCUUUGCGAAAUUUCUCGGACGUCCGAUGCGAUCGAUGUGCGUCCGAGGCAUGAGUCCGAUCCUUCCGGACGUCCGAUGCUUCCUCGUGAGCGUCCGACAGAGUUUCCUUCUUGAUGUUCUUCAUCCUUUCGGACGUCCGAUAGCUUCCUUUCGGACGUCCGACAUGAGUGCCCUGUUUUUGCUUCUUCUUUUGUGCCACAAGAAUCUGUUCUAACAAAUUGCUCACAUAAAAACAUUAGCCCAAAUCUACAUUUUGGUUUGUUAAUCAUCAAAACCAAGGAUUGAUCGACCAAGGUCAACAAUCUCCCCCUUUUUGAUGAUGACAAACAAAAUGAAGAUUUCUUUUAUCAAAUAAGUUCAAAUAAAGUUCCCCCUUAGAAAGUGCCAACAUACAAAGAAAUUUCAAUAAAUCCUACUCCCCCUUUUGGCAUCAAUCAAAAAAACAAACUCCCCCUUUAUUUUUCAAAUCAAGACCAUAUUGAAUAUCAAAAUUUUCAAUUGUACUUACAACCAUAUAGCACUUCUUGGAUCAAAUCUUCAUGAUGUACCUAAAUAUGAGAAAUUUCAUUUGGUACUCUUUCUUUAUAGGGUCCUUGGGAGUUAAUACGACAUGAUCUAGCAAUCCACAUGGAUUUCAUGCCUUUUCUUAUAUUUUUCUUUACAUAGCAAUCAUUUUGCAUAUGUCCAAAUUUGCAACAAAAGUGACACAUAAUAGAAGUAUUUUGCACAUAGGUGGAUUUAAUGCAACUAAUUUUCUUACUUCUUAUCAUAGCAAACUUGUUUGUGCCUUGAAAAGAUUUGCUUUUUUUUGUUUGAGAAAACUUUUGUUUUUCAUUUUGGAGAAACUCGUUCAAGUCAUUAAUUCUUUUCUUUAACACAUUUUGUUCCUCCAACAUUUUUUCAUAAAAUUUUGUUUUCUCUUCCAAUUUCCUUUUCAAAUUAUUUUUGCAAUCAAAAACACCUUUUUUAUUUUUUAAAUCAUCAUUUUCCAUUCUCAAACAUUUGUUUUCUUGAAAAAGUUUGGAGUUUUCUUCCAACAAAUCAUUUAUUUUUGCUUUCAAAUCGUUAUUUUUAGCAUAAGAUUUUCUCAAACUUUUAUGCAUUUUAAUCAUAAGAAUUUUCACAUCAUCAUCUUCAUUAUCUUCAUCACAAGAAGAGUGGUAAGAACUUACCUCAUCUUCUCCAACAGCCAUUAGUGCCAUUUGGGCCAACUCUUCUUUUUCUCUUUUUGAAUUGCAUUCAUCCCAUGUAAUUUUGCAAUCUCCUCUUGAACAUCUCUUGUUGAAAAUCUUCUUGAAACUUUUGAUGUGAGGAGUUAUAUCAUUGUCCACUUCCAUGAUUUCCUUACCCAUGAAGGAUGGGUUAUCCCCCACUUGAGAUGCUUUAAAAGCUAUGCCUCUCUUAUACAUUCUUGCAUUUUCUUUCUCUUGCACUUUGAAUUUUAGUUUUAAUUCAUAAGAGGUUAGGGAAUUCACAAGAGAUUCAAUGGACAUAGAAUUUAAAUCCUUUGCCUCUUCUAUAGCAUUUAUUUUGUUUUCCCAUUCUUUUGGCAGGGCAUUCAAAAUCUUUCUAUUUUUCUCACCCAAAGAAUAUUCUUUUCCAAGCAAUUUAAGAUUUUCAAUAAUGUCACAAAAUCUACUACACAUCUUAUCAACAUUUUCAAGAGGAUGCAUUUUGAAAAAUUCAUAUUGAGAAACAAGUAAAGAUUUCUUUUGUUCUUUAAUAUCUUGGUUACCUUCAUGAAAUUCACACAAUUUGUCUUUAGCUGAUUUACAACCUUUAAUCCUACUAGAUUCAUUUACAUCUAAUGCAAUGCACAAUAUAUACAUGGCCUUGGCAUUCAAAGAAAGAUAUAUCUUGUCUUUUUCAUUCAAUUCUUGUCUAGUCUUUAAUCUACUCAAAUUAGUGGUAGAGUCAAUUAUUCUGGUUUCAUAAGGACCAUCUUCUACCACAUACCAUAAUUCAAUAUAAACGGAUUGAAAGAAAAUCAUCAUUCUUUGUUUCCACAUGCUAAAAUGAGAACCAUUAAACAUAGGUGAUCUAUCAAUAGAUUGCCCUUCUAAAAAAGAAACUUUUAUGGUUGACAUGAUCUUUACUCUAAGCGGUUAAGCUUGAUCAAAAGAGACCGAGCUCUGAUACCAAUUGUAAGGCCUGAUGCAACCCAAUGAGUACAAACAAUAUCACAAUGAUGCACAAAAAUAUAUCAAAUUUAAGCACAAUAAAGAAAACUUAAUUAAAGAGAAAAGAUAAGAAAUGCAAACCAAAUAUCAAUCCAAUAGUCUCUUCAAUAGAUGGCGAUGCUAACCAAGAUGUACAAGUGAAGGCUCACUCCUUCCUCACCCCAAACACACUUUGGUUAAGCCAAGUAGUUUUACAACUAUUCUAGUUAACCCUCAACAACCUACACUUGAAAGAUCACUCACCCAAUUAAGAACUAUUUUAUACAAAUGAGGCAACCUUCACCAAGGUUUUACCACUUCAAGUGAUAGGUUCACCUUCACCAAGGUUUUAUUUCUCCUAGAGAGUAACCUUCACUUGAACAACCUCACAACCCAACUUCCCCAACCCCUUAUACAACCAACAAAGAAUCUUUCUACUCAAAAAUCUCACUUGUAAGCUUGUAUUUUGUGUUGGCAAAAGUCUCUUGUCUUCUUGUGCUUUGGGAUUUUUAUAGAAAGUGAGAAAUGGCUCCAAAAGACUCUCCAACGGUCAAAUAUUAAAUGCUGUCAAAACUAGCCGUUGGCCUGUCGGACGUCCGAACCACCUGUCGAACGUCCGAACCCUGCGUCCAAACCACCUGUCGGACGUCCGAACCCUGCGUCCGAACGUCGUCAGAGAGUCAUCAAAUCUUUGCGAAAUUUCUCG